rnacentral:rRNA from 1 species
UGCAUAUCCCAAAAGCGGAGGAAAAGAAACUAACAAGGAUUCCCCUAGUAACUGCGAGUGAAGCGGGAAAAGCUCAAAUUUAAAAUCUGGUGGUCUUUGGCCAUCCGAGUUGUAAUCUAGAGAAGUGUUAUCCGCGCUGGACCGUGUACAAGUCCCCUGGAAUGGGGCGUCAUAGAGGGUGAGAAUCCCGUCUUUGACACGGACUACCAGGGCUUUGUGAUGCACUCUCAAAGAGUCGAGUUGUUUGGGAAUGCAGCUCAAAAUGGGUGGUAAAUUCCAUCUAAAGCUAAAUAUUGGCGAGAGACCGAUAGCGAACAAGUACCGUGAGGGAAAGAUGAAAAGAACUUUGGAAAGAGAGUUAAACAGUACGUGAAAUUGUUGAAAGGGAAACGCUUGAAGUCAGUCGCGUCUGCCAGGGAUCAACCUUACUUUUGUGAGGCGUACUUCCUGGUUGAUGGGUCAGCAUCAGUUUUGGUCGCUGGAUAAAGGUCAGAGAAAUGUGGCACCUUCGGGUGUGUUAUAGUCUUUGAUCAGAUACAGUGGCUGGGACUGAGGAACUCAGCGCCGCAAGGCUGUCUUAGGAUGCUGGCAAAAUGGCUUUAAUCGACCCGUCUUGAAACACGGACCAAAGGAGUCA